rnacentral:sRNA from 1 species
CUCAAACUCCUGACCUUGUGAUCCGCCUGCCUCGGCCUUCCAAAGUGCUGGGAUUACAAGCAUGAGCCACCAUGCCCGGCCGCACCCAGCUAAUUUUUUAUAUUUUUAGUAGAGAUGGCGUUUCACCAUGUUGGCCAGGCUGGUCUUGAACUCCUGACUGCAGGAGCCACUGCGCCCGGCCCUAGGUUGUUUAUUAAUAACCCAUUUUAAUAUGGGACUAUGAGCAGAGGCUGGGAAGCAAAACUUGUCACAUCAGUGUUUCUCUUUGAAUUGGGGGUAGGUGGGUGGGUGGCUCUUUAGCAAGGGGCUGAAAUACUGCUUGCAGCACAUUCCACCCCGGUCAUCAGACAAAGGCACCCUCAGAGCUACCCCCUGCUCCUUCUCAGGCUCCAUCUGGCCUGAGCACCCUGCCCCAGCGAGUCCUCCGGAAAGAGCCUGUCACCCCAUCUGCACUUGUCCUCAUGAGCCGCUGCAAUGUCCAGCCCACAGCUGCCCCUGGCCAGAAGGUGAUGGAGAAUAGCAGUGGGACACCCAACAUCUUAACGCGGCACUUCACAAUUGAUGACUUUGAGAUUGGGCGUCCUCUGGGCAAAGAUCAUGGAGGAGUUGGCAGAUGCUCUAAUGUACUGCCAUGGGAAGAAGGUGAUUCACAGAGACAUAAAGCCAGAAAAUCUGCUCUUAGGGCUCAAGGGAGAGCUGAAGAUUGCUGACUUCGGCUGGUCUGUGCAUGCUCCCUCCCUG